rnacentral:rRNA from 1 species
AGCGUAGGCGGAUUUUUAAGUGAGAUGUGAAAUACUCGGGCUUAACCUGAGUGCUGCAUUUCAAACUGGAAGUCUAGAGUGCAGGAGAGGAGAAGGGAAUUCCUAGUGUAGCGGUGAAAUGCGUAGAGAUUAGGAAGAACACCAGUGGCGAAGGCGCUUCUCUGGACUGUAACUGACGCUGAGGCUCGAAAGCGUGGGAGGCAGACA